rnacentral:tRNA from 1 species
CCUUCAUGGAUCACGAGAUUCGCGUCGAUGCGACGCGCAACGCGAACGGCGCGUGGGUCGCGCAGGUGCCGAUCUUCCGCGACGGC